GGGGGUGACUUGGUUUCGACUGGAGUAGUCGGGGCUAUGUGCAUGUCGGACUGAGCAAUUCCGUUACGCGGCUCACACGCAUUUAAACGCAAACAACACAGAUUACCGUCCAGCUUACGCCGUAGCGUAAGUCAUUAACCCCGAUUCGUCGGAGGACUGCCCUGCCUGGGAGUGUCACCUUAACAGGACUUGGGGUAUCACAUCUGGUGACUAUGCUCCACGGAAGCUAUGCCGUGGUGUGAGAAUCUUAGCUCGUCUAGCAAAGUUUUGAGUGUGGUACAAAACUAGAUUAAAAUUAACAACACUGACUAAGCAUGUAGAGUCAUAGUUCUAGCUAUUUU
rnacentral:tmRNA from 1 species